rnacentral:snRNA from 2 species
CCCCUUGCGCUUGGGGCAAUGACGCAGCUGGUGAGGUUUUACCGAGGCGCGUCGAUUGCUGGUUUGAAAACUAAAACUAUUUCCAAGUCCCUUCUGCGGCCCACGGCCAGCAGAGAAUUUCAAGGGUAAAGCCCU